rnacentral:lncRNA from 1 species
UCUGUAUUCUGUGCAGUGGUACGUAUAUUCAGUAGGGUCUCACCCUACACGUACAGUUUUGCAGCCUAUCCAAAAGGAGAUUAAGGCAUUUGUCAGAGCAACAGUUUAUUCUCCAUCUGCUGGUGGACCUGGAAGAGGCUGAGCCAAAGAGAGGAGGAGGAGGGAGAAGGGAAGCAGGAAGCGGAUACCAGGACUGCAGAUCUAUCCUGGGGGAAGGAACAGAUCCUUUAUUGGUGCAGCAGUGUCUGGGACUAGGAAAUAGGCCCAAAAGGUCAGACAAGUUUUGAGUGUCCAGAGUAACUGCAGUAGCCCUGGGUGCUGGAGAAUUGGCCCUGGAGCACGUGCAGAGAAGGACAAUGAAUCUGGUGAAUGGCUUGGAGCACAAGUCUGAUGAGGAGCAGCUGAGGGAACUGAGAUUGUUCAAUCUGAAGAAGAGGAGACUCAGGGGAGACCUCAUUGCACUCCUCAGACACCUGAAAGGAGGUUACAGCAAGCUCAGCACAAACAUCUCUCUCAUUUUCUACAAUCUGUGGGAUGACGUGUUCCACCCGCCAGGUGCAACACGGUUGACCAGAAAAAAUGCAGUGAAUUACUAAAAAGAGAAGACUGUGAACAGGCCUAAGAGAAAAGAGUAACACCUGCUAAGUUACUCAAUUAGUAAAAAGUUGACGUUAGACUCUCCAAAAGCUUCCUACUUCUUUUGGUGGCUUCCCACCAGGACUGUUUUAUAUCGGUCCUUGUGGUAAGCAUGGAGCAGCUGGAGGGCAGUGAGCCUCUGUUGGAGUCAGCAGGAGAUCUCCUCCAGCCCUCGGUAGAGCAAGUGUUUGUCAGAGAACUGGGAUCCUGGUCAAGGAAGGCUGUUGUCAGACAGCUGUUUGAUGCAAAGCAGACUGAUAUAUGACGUGGUCCCUGUGGGAAGCUGGGGGAGAUGCACACAGGAGCCAGCCCACCCUCACCUGCCUCCCUUCCCUGUGUCACACUGUGACAUAUUCGCCAUCCUCACGGAGCCUUCUGCCUUCCUUCGGUGCUGAUGGGCCAUCUCCCACCUCUGAGGAGUCUUUGAGGAAGGCAACUUACGUUGCAUCAACAAACAGGCCCUGCCUAAUUUCCCCAUGACAAGCAAAGCUGUGGUGUCCCGGGCUACUCCUUGUUUCAUCCCCACCUUUCACUUCUGCCCCAGUCUUCCAUACAUGCAAGUGGUUCUGCUAUAUCCCUGUCUUUGGAAACGCAGCUCCCCUCUCUCUUCUCAGAAGUCACAUCCUCCCACAUCCACCCACAUCCACACUCCUGCACACCAGCCCCCUUCCUGCUGCCCUAACUCGCCUUCCUGUGCAGCACCAUCACUGACCCCAGCCUCAGCUGAAGGCUCGUGCAGACUGGCUCUGCUGUUAACUCCGGCCCUAACCUUACUCUCUCAGCUCUGUCCCUCCUCUAUCGGGAUCCCUUUCCCCUGCAGCUCUUUCAAGUCGUGACAACCUUCCCAAAGAAGCUAGAAGAACUUCUGGAAGACAACAGAAGUGGAAUAAGCAAAGUUUCCUCCCUCCGCCCCUUGCUGUUAGCUUCACUGCGCCUUUGGAAGGACUUUGCACUAGAGGAGAUGCUAUUUUUGUCCUGCUUAUGCAGCUAUGCUUGAUGCGAUGAAUAAAGCUGCAGGAGAACAGUCCUCUUGGAGAGGACCCUGAGUGCACUCGGCUAUAUCAUAUUUCCAGGUUGGUGCUUGGGCCUCAACAGUGCUGUCACCACUGGAGACCUCAGGGACAAAUGCAGCCACAGCAGUUUGCCUUUCUUGUCCCUCACCACCUGUGCAUAAGACAUGAAACACAGCGAUCUGAAGAAACUAACAUCGGGGUUUCAUUUGACAUUGCUGAAAAGAUUUGAGGGAAGGAUGUUGGGAGUAAAAUGUUUGUAAAAAUUAGAAAUCAGCAUCCCUUUAAAUAGACCGAGUCUGUUCCUUUCUAAUUGCCAUAUAAUCUUAUACUUCUGACACGGGAGCACAAGUAACUAAUCACUUCUGUAGCCUGGCUGUGAGCUGGGGAUUUAGUGUCUUCCUUCAAAGAGGAUUGCAGGUAACUGACUAACAGUAAGGUAGGACUGCCUGAGAUGACACUAUCCACGCGAGCUGCUCUCCUGGCAACCACAAUCCAAGAAGCAGAAAAUACCGAGAGAAAAGAAUGAGCUGGAAGGAGGAGCUGUUGUUUGAACAUGCGGAUGUUGGACUCUCCCAGAAGACAUCUGCAAAGAUGAAACAAUUGGAGGAAAUUUGUUUUGUGAUAUCCUUUCCCCCUGCAAUGUUUGACCAUCCUGAGGAGAGAAAGGAGGUUUUGAGCGUAUCUGUUUGCAACAUUCUGGUGCUUGAAAGGAUCUUAUAAGCAGGAGGGGGAGCAACUUUUUACGUGCUCUGAUAGUGAUGGGAUGAGAGGGAAGGACUUUGAACUAAAAUAUGUGAAAUAUAAGUUAGAUGAUAGGAGGAAAUUCUUUCCUCAGAGGGCGGUGAGGCGCUGGCACAGCUGCCCAGAGAAGCUGUGGUGCCCCAUCCCUGGAGGCGCUCAAGGCCAGGUUGGAUGGGGCCCUGGGCAGCCUGAGCUGGUGGGGGGCAGCCCUGCCCACGGCAGGAGUUGGGGCUGGGUCGGCUUUGAGCUCCCCUCCAGCCCAAACCGUUCUGUGAUUCUAUGAAAGAUGUCCCUCCCCAGUUUUUUUAUCAGCAAGGAAUCCUCCUACCUCGGCAUCUGAUUUUCCUCAUCAAGUCACAGUGCUCUGCUUGCAAAUUGCAAUUAAUCACUAUGGAGACUGUUGCAAAGUCACCAGUUUGGGAUUGGUCUUUCAGCUGAGCACUAAGCAACAGGUGCUGGGUGGCUUUGAGGAAAGCUCUUUAUUCACACUGAGGUGCAUUGUCUGAAGAUGAGGAAAGAUUUUCCUUGCAGCUAAAAAUAAUCAGAGAAUCAGAGGAUAAUGAAGGUUGGAAAAGACCUCUGGGAUCACCCAGUUCAACCAUCAGCCUACCCCCCCAUGCCCACUGCCCACGUCCCUCAGUGCCACAUCCACACGGCUCUUCAACACCUCCAGGGAUGGUGACUCCACCACCCCCCUGGGUAGCCUGUGCCACUGCCUCACUGCUCUUAAAUAAUGGCAUGAGCUGGGGGGGAUUUCCUGAAGUGGAAGAAACCUCGUGACAUGGAUACAACCCUGUGGCUCAUGGAGAGAGCGGGAGUCAGUGCUGGUUUGGAAGGUCUGCAUUCACAUCCGUCAACAGUAAGAGCUCUACAUGCUCCAGCUGCAGCCAUAGGCCAUCUCCAGCCUGGCUCUUCAGACUGUGAGGCCUGAGCAAGAGCAUCUCGCAUCACUCUCCCCACUGCUCUCGGCACAACAGUGAGGGAGUCAGGAUGCUGCUCUGCACGGACCUGUUCUGAAGCUGAGACCAGCACGUACCUGAGAGCUAUGGUUCCUUUCCUUGUGCCCGCACGCACACAGACUGGGGCUGCAGUCAGCUGGAGGGGUUUUAAAGCAUCUUUCUGGAGAGCAGACCUAAAUAUGUCAUCCAUUCCAUUUGGAAAUGAGGGCAGCAGCUCUGAGAAAAAGCAGACAGUGGGCAUCCGUGGGACUUGCCAGAUUAGAGACAAACUGCAUGAAAGCACUGUCAGCUCCUUGCUGAAUUUACACAGAUGCCCCUGCCCUGUCCCUGCCCCCUCUGCCAGCCAUCGCGUGACAUCGCAGCCAGUGGGGAAGGGCAGUGACAGCCACAGGUAAAGACUGCAUGGUGUUGUGCACCACUUUGGUGGCCUCCAGGAGCUGAAUCUAUGCUCUGACAGGCACUGUGCACAGCAGUGGUGGCGAAUAAGUGUGUCCAGAGGCACCUGGGGACAGCAAGGCAAGCAUUUUUAACCAGGUGCUGCUGAUGCAAAUCCAUCAGCACAGCCCCAGGUGGAACGCCCAUUGCAGUCAAAGGCUCAGUUCCUCACCCAGCAUCCAAGAAAGGACAAGAUGGGGGAGGGGGGGAGGGAAGUCACAUCCAGAAGCAUCCAUGGGUGAAAUAUUGAAAUGAAAUGCUGUGAAAGGGGCCCUUGGGGCUUGGGAAUAUAUCAUCUUUGUAAUGCACGAGACAAGCAGCCCUGCUCUGGGACUCUGCUUUGCCCCAGUUCCAUUACUGUGGAUGUACAGUAAGGACAGCAGAUGUAGACCCCAAAUAAUCCUCCCAUUUCAGCAAGGAGUGCUGGUUCAGAAGAGAAAUGCGUAACGCAUCUGCUAGAACAGGUAAGGCAUGGUUCUGAAAGCAUCAAUUCCACCUGUUUUCCAAGAGUAGAACUUGUUUCAGUUCUGGGGAAAGGGUCAGACACAUCCUCAUCUAAAUCCAUGCCUUAAGAUUUGGGCUGUGUGUCACUGGAGUUAAAAUAUCCCCAGAAAACCACGGGGCCCUGUUACGUAUCCCCAUUUUUAUCUGGGUUGUACUAAAAAUGUAUAUUAAAUUGUAAUCAUUUAGCAAUGUUUCCGCACACACAAAAUUCUCUUGGCUACAUAUAUAGCAUCAUCCAGUACACAUUGUUUUGGCAGCUUUAUGUUCUUCAGCACUCUCACUGCCUGUGCACCUGUUUUUUUUUCACAUGGGGUUUGCCCCACUGCUGCCAACUGUGAUUCCUUACACCUUUGCACACGUUUACUGUGUCCUCAUUCUCCCACACACAAGAAAAAGAGAUUGUGCUGCCUCCGUGAGCCUGCACAUGAAAGUCUGAGCAAGAUCUGCUGUGAGGGCUGAGGCAGAGCAUUGCUGAAGCAAGCAUGUGUUUGCUCCUUGGAAAGUGACAGUCAAUAAAUGUAAGAAGAACCAUCGUGGAGGAAGUGGCAGCAUGGAAGAUGUUUCUGGUGGUACGGAUGUAGGAUGAGUUGUCACGGAGGGUAACCUCUUGUUUCCCAUGCAGAAGCUUGUGCAGGGCAGGUGAUGGACACGUUGCAGGCCCCAAACUGCAGAGCUGGCCUCAGAGUAUGUCAGGUGCUUCCUGGAAUAACACUUAGGUCCAUGUGAGGUGGAAAAGGUUUUUUCAUCCCAGAUCACAAAUCUGUCUGUCCAUCCAACUGUUAGUCUCUCCCAAAUGAGAUCUGAACCCUCCUGCUGCUUUCGACAAAAGAAGGUCUCCAAAAUCCCAAAUUCCCACAGGUCUCUCAUCAGGUAGAGAAGGAAACACAAAGCAACUCAGUGAGGCACACAGGAAAUGCACGUGCAAGAUCAUGGUCUUGGCAAAUUGGGAAGAAAUUGCCCUGGAGCAG